GAUGGAGAAAUCAUGGCUGCAGAAGAGGAAUCUUGCUCCUGCCAUCAGGCAUUCUCUAGACAUCCACAAACGAAGUCUGAAAAGAGGUACUGUGAUAAACACUGGGAAAACAACAAUGGACAAGCAACACUACGUGACCAUGAUAAUCAUUAAGUUGAAAUCUAGUAAAGAAAAAAGAUGCAUAAAAUGGCAUUUCUAGUAUCGUAUAGUGAAAAAGCGGAUGAAUAGACACAAUGAGAACACAUUUGGAGUGUGGAGUCAAACCCAAAUUGGGAGGUCAGGAAAGGUUUCUGAGAGAUGUUGAGUCAUUAAUAAAAUGAGAAGUUAUCCUGACUCUGUGUGUGUGUGUGUGUGUGUGUGUGUGUGUGGUGUGUGUGUGUGUGGUAGUGGUAGUAGUAGUAGCAGUAGUAAUGAUGGUGGGGUAAGAUUGGGCAAAAAGUAUUCUACUGUGGAAUGAUGGAGAGGUGGUGCCAAAUGCAAAAGGCCACAGAUGGAAGACUGCAUGAAUUACGCAUGAAUUAUGCAAGAAGCAUACAAGAAAUGAGGCUGGGAAGUUUAAAAAGGCACCCCAUUUAAGGGUCUUUUGAUAUUAUUUUAACAAACUUGGAAGUUUCCUAAGGAAUUUGUUGCAGAAUUUUGAGUCGAAAGUGACAAAAUCAGAUUUGUACUUAAAGAAAAUCACUUUUGCAUCGGGUGUUGGACUGAAAUAGCGAAAGGCCAAGAGCACUGGGAUCAGUAUGGAGAGUAAUGUUUACAUAAAUUUCAUCCAGAAAAGAUUCCAAUUUCCAAUGAUACGAAUGUAUUGAGAAUAUUCCAAUUUAAAUUUGUCAACUGAAAGGCACGUGGACUUAGGUGAGUUGCCUUAGACUUUAUUAUGUUUUUUUCCCCUAGGGCUAUUUUGUCUGUUUAGGGUUUGUUGAAAUUAAAUUACAUAGGGUCCAAAAUAAUCUAAUUAAUAAUGGAACAAAAAUAUAUAACAUUGAGACUAGAUACAGGGAGGAUUUCCAUUGAGCUUGGAAUAAGUGCUGAGAUAAUUUUGCUUACAUGACGGAAUUUUAAACAUCCUCCCUCACUGGACACCAACAUUCCAAUUCUAAACCUCAUCUACAGUCUGCAUUUCACUCCCUUGGUCUCUUGGUUUAUUCUCCUCGGUUGUUUCUGGGAGUGCAUCUCUCUCCCAUAAAAUUUUGAUGUAUUUUGAACAUCGGUCUAAUUUUUAUGUCCCAUAUUUCAGAUAUUUGAACAUACUAGGUUCUAAAUAUUGCAGAAAUAUAUAGAAAACAACAAAGCAGAACAUUUUUAACCUCUAAAGAUUUUCUUGAUGAUUCAAGUCCCAGGGGUGUUUUGGUUCAUUUAGGCUGCCGUAACAAAAUACCUUACACUAGGUAAUUUAUCAGUAACAGAAAGUUAUUGCUCACAGUUCUGCAGGCUGGGAAAGCCAACAAGGUACCAGCAGAUUUGGUGUCUGGUGAGAGGUUUUUCUGCUUCAUAGAGAAUGUCUUCCGCACUGUGGAAGGGAUGAAUAAGCUCUCUUGGGCCUCUUUUGUAAAGAUACUAAUUCCAUUUAAGAGGGAUUUUUCAACAUAUGAAUAUUGGAGGGAUACAAACAUUCAGAUCAUAGAAUGAAGACUACUUCUGAGUAACGAUAGUAAGCAAUCAUUAUAUAAAGGAAAACCUAUGAUUUGUUAAAUGAUGAAUUGUUCUAAUUUAAAAAACAAUAGAUGAUUGUAAAUUGAUUUCUGAGAGCAAACUAUUUUUGGCACAUCCAUAUGAGGUAAAGGAAGAAUAAUUGGAUCGUUGGUUUGUCUUAAAUAAUUGCACGUGGAGAUCUGUCUGAAAAUAUUGCUCAGCUAAAUGCCCUGUCACUUGUGCUAAUUUGAAGUGGUAUUUCUGAAUUUUAAAUAAUACAAUAUAAAAAGGCCCUGAAAAGCUAAAAUUGUUGUAUUCAAAAUGACUUGUAAUUUAAAUGAAUGCCUAUUUUGUAUUUGAAUACAUACUGUUUCUAUAAACAAAA